GCACGCAUAGCUCAAUUGGAUAGAGCAUCUGACUACGGAUCAGAAGGUUCCAGGUUCAACUCCUGGUGCGUGCACCA
rnacentral:tRNA from 1 species